CCUUGAGACCCUGGGAGGGACUGAGUUCCAGAUGUGUCUUUUAAUAAGAUAAAUUCUUCAUUAUGGAAGUAGUUGAAUAAAGCAUGUGAUUACUACAGCAAUUUACACAUCAGAUGUAAAGUAGAAUUACCUUUGCUCCAUUUCUAUGUAAGUGAAAAUAAGAUUUGUUAAGUCCAAUACAAAAUGUAUGAAAGACUUGAUAUUGUAUUCAUCGUUCACCUCUUUGCAGUUAAAAUAUGCAAGGAAGUACAAUUAACUAAUGGAGGCUGAUCUAGGUCAGUAAAGCCACCAACAUUUAAGUGUUAGCUUUUAAAGAGAUCUUUAUGUGACAGAACAGCAGAGAGCUUUUGGAAUUAAGAACAUAGAUAUUUACAAACUUGUGAAACCAGGGUCUUAAACUUCAGAAUCCAUAAUAUCAUGCAGGAGAUUGGAUAUCUUUUUUGUUAUGAAUAGUCUCAGAUUGUGACUCAUUGAGCUGAUAGAAGCCCUAGAAUGUAAGUUUAUUACAAGCUCCCAGGCUCCCAGUAUGAAACUAAUGUGAGUCAAAAAGUCACACUCUGAAAGACAUUGUCUGAGAGGAAAUGUAGCCUUAAAUUAGCCUUGAGGUAAUUCUUUGCUUAUAGCCUUCUCAGCAAUGAAAACCUCUAGAAUCCAUUAUAAGAACUUGUAGAAGACAGUGUGGCAAUUCCUCAGGGAUUUAGAACUAGAAGUACCAUUUGACCCAGCAAUCCCAUUACUGGGUAUAUACCCAAAGACACAUGCACACGUAUGUUUACUGCAGCACUAUUUACAAUAGCAAAGACUUGGAACCACCCCAAAUGCCCAUCAGUGAUAGACUGGAUAAAAAAAUGUGGCACAUUUACACCAUAGAAUACUAUGCAGCCAUAAAAAAGAGUGAGUUGAUAUCCUUAGUGGGGACAAGGAUGAAGCUGGAAACCAUCAUUCUCAGCAAACUAACACAGGAACAGAAAACCAAACACCACGUGUUCUCACUCAUAAGUGGGAGUUGAACAAUGAGAACACAUGGACACAGGGAGGGGAAUAGCACACACUGGGGCCUGUUGGGGUAGGGGGCAAGGGGAGGGAGAUCAUUAGGACAAAUACUUAAUGCAUGAGGUACCUAAAACGUGGAUGCCAGGUGGAUGGGUGCAGCAAACCACCCAUGUAUAGCUACGUAACAUGGCCCAUGUAUAGCUAUGUACUUUUUCAUCAACUCUCAUGUAAUUGGACUUCAUUGUACCUGUUUAAGGGAUAUACUAACACAUGCAAUGUACAGAUGAGUACACUAAAUAUGAGAGAGGUUAAGUAAAUUUUUCAUGGCCACAGAACUAUUAAGUGAUGGAAUUGUAAUUCAAAAUUAGUUCUGAGUGACUCCAAACACUGUAUUCUCCCCUUCUCACUAUGAUGCCUCCCAGAAUAAAUGCUCAUAUUAAUAGCAGUGUGUUUGCAUUUAUUAUCUGAGGAGAUGGUAAUAAUAAGCCUAUAUCAUACUAUUUACCCCCAAGUUAAUGAAAUUUUCCUCCAUAUUCCAUAUGAUGAGCUAAUUAUGCUCUUAUGAGUCAUUGGAAAAUUCUGUUUUAUUCAUUACACUAUUGUUUACUGAGUGUCACCUAUGUACCAGAAAUUGUAGGCACUAAGCAGACUAGCAAGACAAAGUCUCUGCUUUCUGAAACCAGCCUUAAUUUAUUUCUAAUCACUCUGUACAUGUAAGCCAACAUGCCAGAUCACUGGAUCCCCCAAUCAUAGUUUCUGGAAUACAACCCAAAGCCACAUAAGUAUUCUACCAAUGCCCAGAUGGAAUCAUUUCCCUAUAUUAGUAAAUAACACAGAAGUUCUGUUACUUCUAAAUACAAAAUUUAUUUUAAAUCUGUACGCUUCUCUUUGUCUUAACUCCCACUGGAUCCAAGCCAUUAUUUCCUCUUCCCUAGAUUAAUAUCAUAACUUCUCAGCAACCAUUCUCUGUGGUUCCAUGUUUGCUUCUACCCAACCCAUUUCUAACACAGCAAUAUAAACAUCAAUGAAAUUAACUUUUCAAAAAUCUCAAUUUACUCUGGGUUUCUCACAACUUCCAUUUCACUGAUUCUGUAUUAAUCCGUUUUCACACUGCUGUAAAGACAUACCAGAGACUGGGUAAUUUAUAAAGAAAAUGAGAUUUAAUGCACUCACAGUUCCAUGUGGCUGGGGAUGCCUCACAAUCAUGGCAGAAGACAAAAGUCAUGUUUUACAUGGUGGCAGGCAAGAGAGAAUGAGAGCCAAGUGAAAAAGGAAACCCCUUAUAAAACCAUCAGGUCUCAUGAGACUUAUACACCACCACAAGAAUAGUAUGGAGGAAACCACCUCCCUUUCAAUUAUCUCUCACCAGGUCCCUCCCACAAUACGUGGGAAUUAUGGGAGCUACAACUCAAGAUGAGAUUUGGGUGAGGACACAGCCAAACCAUAUCAGAUUUAUUUCCAUUGCUCUUUUUAUACAAACUUUUACUUCUGACAAUGGCCUACCAAGCUCUACAUACCUAGUACCUGCCUAACUCUUCAAACUCAUUACGAAUCAAUCUGCCCACUGCAUACAAUGCUUCAUUCACUCUGGCUUUUUAAAAUUUACGAUCCAGGAAGUCAAGGCUUUUCCAGUUUUCAGUCUUUGGACUUGUUUCUCUGCCUACGCCAUUGUUCCCCUAGCAGAGUCCAUGCCCAUUGGCUUCACUGCAGUAUCCACAGUAUCUGUUAUAGUGUCCAACACAUAGAAGGAACCAGACUAAUAUAUGGAGAAUGAAGGAAUAAAAUAUUAAAGAUUUAAAAGCUUACUAUAAAUCUGUCUCUAGAACAAAAUAAUACUUGGAGCUUUCUGAGAUGAAUAAAAAUACAAAAUGUUUCCAGAUAACAUAUUGAUCAUUAUACAGGUAAUACUCUAAAUGAUCAAAGGGUAGACCAAGAUGAAAAAAUUUUUAAAAAAUACAGAAUCGGGCUGGGCGCAGUGGCUCACGCCUGUAAUCCCAGCACUUUGGGAGACCGAGGAGGGUGGAUCACGAGGUCAGGAGAUCAAGACUAUCUUGGCCAACAUGGUGAAACCCCGUCUCUACUAAAAAUACAAAAACUAGCUGGGCAUGGUAGUGCGUGCCUGCAAUCCCAGCUACUCAGGAGGCUGAGGCAGGAGAAUUGCUUGAAUCAGGGAGUCGGAGGUUGCAGUGAGCUGAGAUUGUGCCACUGCACUCCAGCAUGGGCAACAGAGUGAGACUCUAUCUCCAAAAAAAAAAAAAAAAAAAAAGUAAAGAAUCUAAACUGAAAAUCUUAUUCCAGAUAUUUCCUCUUUUACACAUCCCAACACACAUUGCUGGUUUAUUUAAAUAGCAAUUUAUUCACAUGCUCAUUCAUUUACCUUUUCAUGAGUACAUUUGUUUUUAGUACUACCUCUUAAAAAGAAAAGGUAAAAAAAGUAUUUAUUCUGCUGCCAAGCAUUUUAGCAUGAAGUAGAAAAGUUAUGGCAGGGACAAAAAUAACUCAAGUAUAAAGUUCAGAGCAAAAUGUGGUUUAAGAGCUCUAUUGAUAAAAUGCUUUGGGAGAUCAGAAAGGGGAGAAAAACCUCUGGAGAAGAGAUGGGGUUAUUAGCUAUAUAGUUUCCCCUUCAAAAAGCAAAGAAGGAUAGGAUGUGUGUGUGUGUAUAUACACAUCAAGGUGAGGGACACCAUGAGAAAGUAUACAAGGAGGGAAGUAUGGGGAAAUUUUAUUUUUCUUGGAACAUAAAAGACUUCAAGGAGAAUAGUUUAAAAAUAUAAACAGAUGAGGAUUGAAUUUAAUUAUACACAGUUCCAAAAGGCAUUACCAGGAAUUGGAUUUUAAUUCUGUGAUUAACAAGGAGUCAUGAGCAUUUCUGGAGCAAGGAAUGGGGUCAUCAAAGCACUGCUUGAAACAGUUAAGGUAAUCUUUUUUAAAUUUUUUAUUUUAUUAAAUUAUUUCUCUUUGAGGUACUCACCUAGCAUAACACUCACCAUUUUUAUAUGUAAAGUUUGUUAGUUUUUAGUCAAAUCACAAGAUUGUGCAACUAUCACCAUUAUCUAAUUCCAGAAUAAUUUCAGCACCCAAAAAACUAGCAAAUUGUUUUCCAUAGUAGUUGCAUCAUAUUACAUCAUCACCAGCAAUGUAAGAGAGUUAAUUUCUCCAAAUCCUUGCUAACAUUUGUUAUUAUCUAUCUUUUUAAAAAUUAUAAUAAUUAUACUGAUGUUAUGUGGCAUCUUGUGGUUUUGAUUGGAAUUUUUCUAAUGAAUAAUGAUGUUGAGCAUCUUUUUAUAUGCUUAUUCAACUAGAAUGUCUAUUCAAAUUUUUUGCGAAUUUUUAAUUAUGUUAUAUGUCUUUUUACUGUUGAGUUGUAGGAGGUUGUUUUAAUAUAUAUUUGGACUUCAAGAUCCUUAUUAGAGAUAUGAUUUAUAAAUAUGUUGUCACAUUCUGUGGUUUGCUUCAUCAUUUUUUUGGUAGUGGCCUUUGAAGCACAACAAUUGUUAAUUUUGAUAAAGCCUAAUUAAUUUAUUUUUUCUUUGGUUUCUUCUGCUUUUGAUGUCAUAUCCAAAAUCCAUUUUAUAAUCUAAGAUUACUAAGAUGUACACCUUCCUUCAGAUCUGCCAAAUAAAAGUCAUUUAUAAAAGUUUUUAUUUUGUUUGCUCUUAUAGUCAAUAGCUGUCAUAUUGUUAGACUACUUAGCUUUCUCUAUAGUUCAGUAAUAAGGAUGAGUAAAUGGUUGUGUUUUCUAAGCCAUUUUUCACCGUGAAACUAAGUUGGUUAUUCAUGAGUGCUACUGAUCCCUCAACAGUGACCAUCAGAGAAUAACAAACUAUACUGAAGUGCAAACGCUGGAUGUUUGGCUGAUUUAUUAAUUCACAAUGGUCAACCUCAAGAUGUGCACAGUUUAAAUUCUUGUUGAAACAAAAUUAGAAAUAACAGUAAGCGAGGGAUCUAAAGAGUUGUUCUGAAAUAUGCCAAACCAUGACUGUUCUAUCCCCAAUCAUUAUAACAUUUUUAACAAGAGUGAUGUCUUUAAUCUCUUUUCCUCUCUGUCCCUAGAGUUAGAAACAGUUUGAUAUCAGUAGAGUUGGCCACAUAGCACAUCUGUGGUCUCUGAGCAAGUGUUUCAUUUUUAUAAUCCCUCCGGGUCCCCAAAAUUAGAGUCAGAAAGAGAUAAUAAAUUUUCCCUCUACUUACUAACUGUGUGAUUUAGACUACUUAAUCUCAUCAAGGGUGUCCUUGUCUGUAAAAUACAGGCAAUGAUACUUACCUUGUGGAAUGGCUGUGAAGAAGAAACAUGAUAGAAAACAUGUAACCAAAUAUCUGAUACACAAAGCACGUUAUCUAAUGUUGCAAUCAUUUUGUUAUAAAGAUAAUAUAGAGUUAUUCCUUUAUUAGCAUUUUGAAGAAAAAAUUAAGCAUACAAGCUUUUGAAAUGAUGAUGCAAAUGGAAAAUAUGGCCAGUUCAAAUAUUUAUGCUCAUAAAGCAAAAUAAAUUUCUUUGUCUUUUUCUUUCUACUGGUUAGUUCUCUGUUCUUUUUAGGUCUUAGGAGUCAGGAUACAAAAUGAAAUGCACAUGGAAUUGUGUAACGUUUUGUGAUUAUUACUUUCUUCAAGUUGGGGCAAUGGCCACAAAUACAUAAGGAUACUGGGGGUUCUGUGUGUACUUGAAAUUUACCAUCUACAAGGUUACCUUAUUCCCAGGGCAAAAGAUACCCACAGGGUGCUUUUGGACUCACCCUUAUCAAAGUCUCACCUCUCACUGAGAUAGGAAAAUACUUUCUAGAUGGAAGUCAGUACCCUACAAUAAUAAUAGCUGGGCUUUCUCUGUGUUACUGAGAGAUGGCUAAUCCAUUCUAGAUGGGGAAUCUUUGGGCCCCUUACCUUAUUGAGAUGUUUAGUUGUUCCCACUAAAGCUAUGUGAAUUCAUCACGGACCUUAUCUCAUAUGUUCAACACCAAAAGAGCACAUAUCCUUACUUGAAGUCAGCAGGAGUUUUCAGAAAAAGAGGAACAGUUGGACAUAACAGAUUAAAGGCACGAACGUCAACUCGUCCUUCUGUCUCCAUGGUCUGGAUGACUCUAUCCAUUUAGUAGCAAAUGUUGAGGAGUAAUUAUCUUUCCACUAACUUGCUUUCAAAUGCCAGGAGGUUAUAAAUAUUCUUAUGGGAACGAAACAGCUUGAAGAGAUGUAAAAAGGAAAUAAGAGGAAAGAGUGAUUCUCUUCUGAUGCCAACUAUUAUCUAUGCCCCAUGGUCUUGAAAUUUAACUGCUUAAGGUGUCUCAGUUUCCUCACCAACAACAUGAAAAAAAUCAAGUAUAAAACUUUUAAGGUCUCUUACAGCAUGUGAGUAAUUAAGGAGAAAUAUUCUUUGCCUUAUCAUAAAAUGAAUGAGAUUAAAUGACAUCAACGUAUAUUCCUGGCCAGUAAACAGCAACCAAAAGGAGAAAAAAAAUCAGUGAUGAGUAACGAUUUUCAAGAAAUGCUCAUUGAAAUGGAUAACAAGAAGCAUUCAACAAGAGCUCAAGAUAAAUGAAUGUUAAUGAACUACAAAAAGGGCUCAGGAUUACUUAUUGAAGAGAAAAGCAAGAGUAAUAGGCCUCAGGCAUUUUGCCCUACUUAUCCCUGGUACUGCAAUGCUCCCAUGGCUUUUCUGAUUGAACUACAGUGAGGAUAUUUUAGAGGAGACUUGGAUUGAUGCAAGUACUUUCAACAAUACUAAAUAAUGUAAAAUUUACAGGUAAGUUAAAUGUCUUGUAUUAUGUGACUAAUUUCAGGGAGGGGAUUUUUGAAGACAGUUUUCUCCACUAGUAUAUCACAUAACUGCGUUCUACUUGAUCUGUUGUGAAACUGGUAAACAUUGUCUUCACUGUUAGCUGAACUCCUGUAGUCUAUAGCACAACGUUUAGCACUUUAUAAUUUAUGAGCAUAGCUUUUUUGUGUGUAUUUUCACCACCAUUGACCUUUGUAAGUUCCUUGAUGGCAGUUAACAAAUUUGGUUCUACUAUGUUAUUCUCACCAAGACCUAGCUCCAGUCUGGUCAAGGAAAUAUUGAUCCAAAAACAAUUGUUAAUUAUCUCUCAACAUUAUGGAGUCAAGAAACCAGUCAAAAUAAACAGACAUUUGGGAAAGGACUAUUCUGAAUGUGCUCACAUUGGGAAUUCUCCCUCCAUGCUAAAUCAUUAUCCAGUUGACAGAGUCUUUGGAAAAAAUAUUAUCCUGCAUUCACAAUGAAGAUUCAUUUUUUUAUGCACUUGUAUUGCUUCUUCCACCACUGUGACACGGUUCGAAGUUUUCCUUCUAUUCUUUUUCAUGUUACUAGAAUCUGCAUAGUCCCUAUGGAUUUAUAAAAAAUUCUACCAAUAAUAUCACUAUUCAUUAUGUUCAGCUCAGAUUUUCCUGGGAACAUGUAACACUCACAAUUUGGCUUCUAAUAUAUCACCCAAAGGAGAGAUGACAGUUUGAAGAUUAUCAAAAUUCAGGAAUCUUGUUUCUACUGCACUUCAUUAGGUGUAUGUGAUGAGGUGUGUGGGGGAGGGAAUGAUUGGAUAUAUGUUGUGUGUUUUGGAAAGCCACUUUACCUCUCUUUCAAUGUUUUUGUCCAUCAAAUAGAGAUUAUAAUACCUUAUCCAUCAUUCUUGGUGGUUGUGGAGUUCAGGUGAGAAAUGAGGUACAGUGCAAUAAAAACUAACACUUAACUAUGGCUAUUAAUGCAAUGUUAUAGGUUAUUUAUUAUAAAUAAUUGUUUAGCAUCUAUAUGGUUUUGCCUUUUAAAUCAUAAUGGUAAAAUAAAUGUUAAAAAUGACAUUUUAAUGUCAGACAGCUGUGGACACAAUAGCUCAUUUAUUUACUAAGUACGUGAGCUUGGGCAAGUUGCUUAAUUUUUUUUUUUAUGCCUUGGUUUUUUCAUGUUUAAGAGUAAGAGUAAUUGAGUUUUCUGAAAGUUUAACUGAGAUAAUGCACUCAUAUUAUUUAGUGUGGCACAAAGUAAAGACUGAAAUAUCAGAUAUCAUUAUUGAUUUGGAAAAGUAAGUGGAAGGAAUAGCCUUGAUACAAACUUCCUUUUAUAGCAGAUUUGAACAAUAGCAGCAACAUUUAACAUUUUUAAUUAAUAAAACCUUAAGUAAAGUUUCAUUUAAGUUUUAAAUUUGUAGCCUUAGCCACAAUCAGCAUCUGAGAGGACAAGGAAGUGCUGUUUACAAUUUAAAAACAUAUUCUUUCUAAGCGUGUUGAUGGUGUUGUGGUCUGCAGCCAUAAAGUGCAAGAGCCAAGGGGAUUUGACUGUCUCAUCCUAUCUAUGAUCUGCCCAUUUGGGAGUCCAACUCAGCCUCUGAGAAUCAAGUUCUCCCAUGUCCAUUGUAGGCACUGCUGGAACAUAAGAAGAAAUAGAUCAAGCUCAUCAAAUCAAAUACUCUGAAUUCAAUCCCUUCCUCGUCAUGCAAAAAAAAAAAAAAAAAAAAAAAAGGUCUAUUCUGUAUAAUCAUUUUGGAUUUCGAUGAGACUUGCAUAAAGCAAAGAAGGAAAAAAAAAAACAAAACAGGUGGCAGUAGUUCAUUGGAAUGCAAAGGUGCUAACCAGGGCCUCCUUUCAUCUAGUAAUUGCCUCAUGGUUCACAAUUACUAUCUAUGCCAAUUAUAACAAGAUAAAUGUCUUUCCAUGUGGUAGGGACUGAAAGACAGCUGCUUGUUUACAGCCAGUCGUUGAAGUGUCUGUAAUUGUCUGAGGUUUUUAAUGCAAGAUAGAAACAUUUAACAACAACAACAAAAAGAAGGUAUCCCUGUGACUGACACAAAUUAAGAUGUGAAACAUAGAUCAUCAUGCAACUGCGACUAUGAUUGUAUUGCCCAUUAGCAAACUGGAGAUUUCAUUAGCAGCACAGCCCCUUGAAGAUCUAAGACAAAAUUGAUGUGAGUGAAAUGCAGAAAAAAUAUUAGAUAGAAGGUGAUGAAGAAGAGAGCUUUAGGGAGGUGGAGGGAACCCAGUUGCGGCAAGGAAGUGUGCAUUAGACAUUGAAUUAUGCUUCAAUUUUAAUCUUUCCACCUACACUCCUUAUGGUCUCUCCAUGUGGCUCAUUUUUGUUCUGACUUUUAAGUUAAGCAACUUAACAUUGUAAAUUAGAGAAAAUUUUGUUUUGUGUAGGAACAUAAAGUUAGAUGCCUGUAAAGGGACUCAGAGGUCAGCUUUUGGUGAUUGUGUAUAUCAACUGACAAAUAGACCUUUGAGCAUAUUUGCUCUCUAGGUUGCCACACCUGGUUUCUAGUCUCAUGGAAGGUCUUUAUAUUGGAUUACAAGAACAUUGUGACUGCAAUUCACAACUAAGUAUUUCAGAAACCCAACAGGUUUGCUAUCAUCUGACAAAGAUAUAUCAUCAUGGAACAAGUAGUUUGUCCUAUAUCAAAGAGGAGAUAUACAAGACAAAUAAAGAUUAAAUAGUACACUCUUAUAACUGUAAACCAUUUUAGUUGGAAAGAGAUUAAAGCUCUUUCUGCAUCUUUUCUUUAAUUUAGAGAUCUGUGCUAGUGAAUUUAGGUGAGUAAAUUCUUGUCAUCAUAUUUUGAUUUGGGAAAUUUAUCUUUUAACAUAGUACAGCUGCAGAAGGCCAACAAAUCAGAUCCACAAAAUUUUCAAAAGUGUACAUAUACUUAAGUAGAUCAUAUGUGUCAGUGUUUGUGAAUCCAUAAUUGUGUGACUAUAUGUAUUUGAGUGUAUGAGUACAAGCGUGAGGCUGUGAGUAUAUGUUUGUGAGCUGUGUGAAUAUUAAGUGUAGGCUUCCAGUCUGUUAGUGUGUUUGUACAUAUUCAUAAAUGUGUUUGAGUAUAUGUGUAUGUAUGAAAGUAUAUGUGAGUGUGUAUGUUUAUAUAUGUGUAUGAGUGUGUGCACAUUUCUGUGUAUGUUUGUGUAUGUAUCUGGUCUUGGAUUAUAAUUCAACCACUUAUUGAUGGUAACUUCUCUAAUCUGUUAAUGAUAAUGUGACAUAAUGUAUGUAAUAAUCUUUAUAAAAUCUAGAGUACUAUGCAAGUCUACUUCAUUAUUACAGAUACAUAAAACAUACUAUUUUACAGCUUUAAGACCGGAACAGUACUGUAUGGCAAUCACUAUACUCUCUGAAUGCCUGUAUGUAGUCAGAAAAUGCAGUCUAAAAUGUUUAUCCAUAUCUGAAAUGUAACUUUUAUAUCCUUUCUCUCAUUCCUAAUUCAUAAGACUUCCUUUCCUCGUAUUUCUGAGAAGAUAUCUUUACAACCAUUAAAAAUGAGCUCUUCUGCCUAGUCUAUUUUUUUCCCUUUACUUGGGACCAGUAACUAUAACCAACCUUGCUAUAAGAAUUUCCCAUUAAUAGUUUGCAGUUGUGGAAGAAGCUGCUCCUCUCUGUGUGCAAACCUGGAACAAGAGUUGCUUGUACAUAUAUAAAAGCAGUUCAAAUACGAUGGUUCUCCUUUCUUAAAAACAUAGUUAAAAUUAUCCUUUUGCAGGUGACCUCUUGAAUUCUAAAACAAAUUCCUUUUAAUGGCAAUCUUUUCCAUGAGAUUCAAUUUAAUGUUUUUUAAACCCAGGUGGUGUGAUGGUGUGAGUAUAUCUGCAUAGAAUAUAGAUAGAACUGUUCUGAGGCAUGCGUUGCUCACUUUAAAAAAUCAAGACAAACAAAAAAGUCUUAAACUAGGAAGACACUCAUGCUUCUUAGAGAUUUAGUUUAGCUUCAAGAGUCAUUAAAUACCAAAGAAGGUGGUUGUAUAUUUAAUCAGUUGGAAUAUUUUGGAUUGAGUUGAGUCAAUAUUAAACCCUUUGAUUUUCUAAAAUGUCAUACUUUGUAUAAAUUGGGGAUGUUGAGAAAGAAGGUGACAAGCAGUGUAUGUACUUUUAGUUUCAGGUUGAGAAGUCUUUCACCACAAGACUUUCCCUUUAUUUGAAGUCCUUUUUCUUGGCUAAAGUAUGGAGGCUGAAUAGUCUGAUCAAAGUCUAAGAAAACUGCUGCUGUGAAAUGUGUGUUUCAGCUGAGAACUGCUGUUGAGAGACUGUCAUUCAGUUUUAAGCACAAUGCUAAAUUAAUUCAGUGAAACGUUGAUUAGUUCUUAGCUAUAUGUAAAAUCUCGGUCAAUGUUGUUUUUGCUUUUGUGCAUGUGUACACUUGAAAGACCUCAGGAUGCUUUAUGUAGUAGAUAUUCAGUAAAUACUCACUUAUUCACUGCCUGACUAAUCCCACGUUUCUUGAUUUUUUUAAAUAUGCAUUCCUUUGAAAAUUUGGCAGAACCAUUUCCUAGAAAAAGCCAUGUAUAAACACAUACACAGUGAAGAAUUAGAGAUCUCCUAAUACCUCUCUGUGGAUACACAGAGAUUCAUCAACCCCCAUGUACAUCCCCUAAACCAGUUCAAGUCAUACUUUUUUUUUUUUUUUUUUUUGAGACAGAGUCUCACUCUGUUGCCCAGGCUGGAGUGCAGUGGCGUGAUCUCGGCUCACUGCAAGCUCUGCCUCCUGGGUUCACGCCAUCCUCCUGCCUCAGCCUCCCGAGUAGCUGUGACUACAGGGGUCCGCCACCACGCCCGGCUAAUUUUUUUGUAUUUUUAGUAGAGACGGCACCAUGUUUAGCCAGGAUAGUCUCCAUCUCCUGACCUUGUGAUCCGCCUGCCUCGGCCUCCCAAAGUGCUGAGAUUACAGGCGUGAGCCACCGCGCUCAGCCUCAAGUCAUAUUUUAACACAAGCAGAAACUGAAACCAAAAGAUCAAAUCACUAAUGGAGGCCUGGUAUCAAAUAGCAAGUAGUUUCUGUGGUAAGCUGGGGAGUGUAUAACCUCCUCUAAAAGGGUUUCCUUACUUCAUUCUAGCCAAUUUUUGGCAGGUAGGAAAGUCAGUCCAGCGCUCUCAGAUUUCCUGGUAUGUUAAGAGAAGCCUAAAAUAUUGUUUGUUUAAAUGCAAAAUUUCUUAAACAGUGACGACUAACUCCAGUUAUUUACAAAAUAUUGUGUUGACCACGCAAGCUGUCCUAAUAGCCUAUUUCUGGUAGUAGGCCAAGAGUUCAUUAUUACUGUUCCAAAUAUUAUACUUUAUAUAUGUUUAGAGUUUGUCAUUCACAUAACAAAUAUUCGCUAAGCUUUAUUAUAUUCAAAAUCUUAGGCCUCGCUCUGUAAAAUGUGCGAGGGUGAAUACAGGAAUAUUUGAUAUCCCUGAACUUAACACAGAAGUGUUAAUACUUUGUACACAAAAAAGGUCAUGCAGAUAUUUAUGUGGGGAAAACACAUAAUAAUAUGGAAACAAUUUUUAGAAAUGAAACAAAACAAGAAGACAGUGUUCUGAGUUCUCUGAAGGUUUGCUGAAUUUCUAUCACGUUAAUCAAUUUUACCUGGCAUGCAGUAAGGUUAUAUACGACCCCUGUGGAGUCCAUAACUGCCCAGCCAUAUGCAGAAGAAUGAAACUAGACCCUUGCCUUUCACCAUAUACAAAAAAAUAAGAAGGAUUUAAUGAUUUAAAUGUAAGAUCUCAAACUAUAAAAAUCUUAGAUGGAAACCUAGGAAUACCCAUCUUGAUAUCGAGCCUUGGCAAAGAAUUUUUGGCUAAGUCCCCAAAAGCAAUUGCAACAAAAACAAAAAUUGACAAGUGGGAUCUAAUUAAACUAAAGCUUCUGUACAGUGAAAGAAACUAUCAGGAGAAGGGAUGAGGGGAAGUUGAGAGUGACCUUCUCUUUCCUCUUGUUUUUUCAAAUGCCAGGGUGCCAUAUUUGGGGUUAGUAUGUCCUAAACUCCAUCAACAUUUUAAUUAAAACACUUUAGGGGGAUGAGAUUUUUUCAUGCUGAGUGUAUGUAUGUAUGUGUGUGCACAUGUUUCUAGUUUAUAUAAGUAAAUGUACAUUUCUUGUGUUUCUGAGUUUAUGAGCUUGCACAAGUCACCUAGUGACAGUCUCUAAAUGUUAGAAUUGCCAACGGUUUCCUUAAAUAUUCUAUUUUUGAUUCUCUGUCAUUAGAACAAACCAGUCUUCAUCUUGUAGAGUACAUGAUAGUGCCAGACUUAGAAGUAGGCAGCGACAAAACUUUAAGCUGAAAUUAGAACUGGGAGAAGCAAAUAAAGUGAGAACAAGGCUAAGGAAACACCUCACCCAAGGAAUUUAUAACCUGGUGGGAAAUUAGCAUUGAAAAUGUAAAUGAGGUUAGGGAAAUUAAGAGGAUUAACUGGCUUAUAGGGAUUUAUACAAAAAUAAAGAGAAGAUCACUGAAAACCUUUGGGAUCUGAUCCCCCUCAACAGAAUUAAAGCUGGUUUUUAGAUGUGUGUGUAUUUCUCUUGUUUUGCUGCUACUUCUAAUUUGAAGGUAUUGGAGCAGCAAUGACAAAUUGUUCUCAGAGACUAUAUUUGCUCUGCGUACCUAAAUGUGCCACCUAUGUCCAGAGGCGCACCUGAGGAGGCUUGCCUGCCUGACUGCUUUCUUGUGAUUUGAAUUGUUACGAAUGGCAGCUGGCUGGGAUUCCAUUCCCAGUGUUUUUAGAUUGUCUCGUAGACACAGACAACAUGUUAGAAAUAAUAAUUUUUGUGCAUAGUUCUUCUGUGGUGGUUGGACGUUUUCGUCAGUGUUGACUGAAGAAUAAUUGAGCUUUAGGGCAUAUCAUCUAAAAAAUGUAAAACCACUCAAAAAGGAGGAAAUAAAUGUGGGUAAAAAUCCAGGCAAACAUGAAUGCAUACUUACAGACUGACCCAAUUAUCUAUUUAGUGGGUGCUGCCUACACAGCCAAAACACCUAACUGGAUAGAUUAGAGGGAAGAUUAAAUUAAGUACUCCGAAUUCAGGUGUACUUCAAAUUAAAGCCAGUCCACUCACCUACUAUAUGUGUUAUCUUGAGCAAUUUAGCUUUUCUAAGUCUCAGUUUUCCUAACUAGAAAAGGGAAUUUGUUGGGUUGUUUCAACAAUUAAAUGCAAUUAAAUGAGAUAGUAUGAGCAAAUGUCUUAGUGCGUGUGUGUGUGUGUGUGUGUGUGUGUGUGAAAGGAAAAGAAGUAAGAAAGUUCAGCAAGCAUGUAUGCUAGAUGGCCAAAAACACAUAAAGAAAAUCUAGGGUCAGGCACAGUGGCUCACACCUGUAAUCUCACACUUUGGGAGGCCAAGGCAGGAGGAUCACUUGAGCCCAAGAGGUUGAGGCUACAGUGAGCCAUGGAUAUGCCACUGCACUCUAGCCUAGGUGACAGAGUGAGACUUGGUCUGAAAAACAAAACAAAAAAAUAAAUAAGAAAAUUUGAUCAAUCACUUUCCAUUGAGGCAUUAUCAGAAAAAAAAAAACCCAUCAAAGAUAGGUAAUUGGGAAGAAUGCAUCUAAUCAAGUGACAACCAUGAAUCAGGAGUUGAUUUAGAAAUAUUUUCUAAUUUAAUUUAUAAUGCAACGAGUAGAUAAUAUUUUGUUUCUCUUGUACAGAAAGGGGCAACCUGAGAGAAAAAAGCCUUUGAUGGCCCAGCCUGCGUAAGGAAAAGUUAUGAAAAACUUUUAAAUGGAUCAAAAAGAUUACUGGGUAUUUUGAGCACAAAACUAGGCAUUGUUUAAUUGGGUACCACUCCAGGUUAUUUGCUUCUAUUGUGUUUGAGCCUUUCAUUGUCUUUGAGCUAUCUUAUAAGUCUAUAAAUUGUAAAAACAGUGAUGCAAAUGUUUUGUGCCCAUAAAUGUGCAAUUGAAUUCUUUCCUUUGAAGCAACAAAUGAUUUCUUGACCUUCCCCCGCUAGUGAAAAAUCUAAUUGUGUAUCUAGUCAUAAAUUUAUUUAACCAGUUCUGUUUGAAUAUAUACGUGUGAUACUUUGAAAUCUCUUUUCAAACUACUGUGACAUCAUUUAGGUUUCCUUAUUAAUGAAUGAAUUAAAUAAAAUCUUUGACAUUAUUUUAUAUUUGUAUUUAAUUCAUGAUUUUACCUGUUUAAAAAAUGCUUCCUUCAACACCUGUGUUGGUUGGUGCUGAAUUUGAACCUCAGUCUGAUGUUAAGACAAAGAGAAACAAAAAUCUAAUUUAAACUUCUUUUUCCACCAGAAGGAGAGCAGAUUCCAGGUUAUUAUCAACCCUUUGAAUUAUUGAAUCUUCUUGCAUCAGCAUAAAUAGUUACAGGAACCCACUACAAAAGACCCUAUGGGUUUCUUAAAAUGAAGUAACAGUUCAAGGACAUCUGGAGCUGAGAGAAAGGAAGAAAGUGAAUGUAAAUAAUGAUCAGAAAUUCUGUUCCCUUUGGGUCAUUAUUCACCUUUCCAAGUCAAUUUAUCUGCUAUAAUGCCUUGAAAACACUUUUUAAUCAUUGCCUAGCAUCUUAAAAAAUCUAAGAUAUUACCUGAAUUAAGUCAAAAACCCAGAAUGAAUUUAAGAAUGAAGGCUACUUGAAUUUCACAUGCCUCUGAAAUAAUUACCAAAGAGUUUAUUUCUGACCAUAAUUAUUGAAUAAUUAUUCACAUUCCAACCCUCAUAGAAAUCUCUUACCUUCUGAUAUUUUUUGUCACCAUGUUUUUUUUUUAGAAAAACAACAAAAGACAAAAUUUUUAAAGGAAGUUUUAGCCAAUUUCUCCUAAACGUAAAUUCCAAGGAGUUUGUAUAGUUACAUUUCUAUAUUUCAAGAAUGCAGAGUCCUCUAAUGGGCUCUAAUAUUUAUGAGUUUCCCUAAUCUUAAUUUUCUAUCAUUUCUCUUAACUGGUAAAUAUUUUGUCUUUCUGCCUACAGAUAGUUUCAAGAAUGUUACCACUAUUUUACCUAAAGCAUGCACAGAUUACAUUAUUUAAAUUAAUAUUUUAAAUUCGAAUUUCCAUUCAAUUCUACAUAUUUAUUGUCUAAAAAUACUUAGCUCUUUGGUUUCAGUUUCCUUAUUUGUAAACAAGUAGAUUUGGUUUAGAAAAUGUAUUAUUCCCAAUUCUAACAUUUCAAUUAUUUUGAUAAUUGGUCUAUAUAUGUGUGUGAGUGUCUAUUCAUCCUGCUUCACCUCAGUUACGCUCUCCCCAGAGUCCACAUUUAAAAUAUCACAGCCAUUAAAAGGAACACGAUCAUGUCCUUUUCAGGGACAUGGAUGGAGCUGGAAGCCAUUAUCUUUAGCACACUAACACAGGACCAGAAAACUAAACAUCUCAUGUUCUUACUUUUAAGUGGGAGUUGAACAAUGAGAACACAUGGUCACAGAGAGGGAAACAACACACAUUGGGGCCUGUUGAGUAGGAGAGGGGAUGCAGGGGGAGAGAGAGCAUUAGGAAAAAUAUCUAAUACAUGCUGACCUUAAUACCUAGGUGAUGGGUUGAGAGGUGCAGCAAACCAUCAUGGCACAUGUUUACCUAUGUAACAACACAGGUGUUGAAGGAAGCAUUUUUUAUUUAUUUAUAUAUUUAUUUAUUUAUUUAUUUAUGUAUUUAUUUAUAUUGAGAUGGAGUCUCAUUCUGUCGCCCAGGCUGGAGUGCAGUGGCACAAUAUCGGCUCGCUGCAAGCUCCACCAAAGGAAGAAUUUUUUAAACAGGUAAAAUCAUGAAUUAAAUACAAUUAUAAAAUACCUAUGUAACAAACUUGCACAUCCUGCACAUGUACCCUG
rnacentral:lncRNA from 1 species